GCUGUUUUAGCUCAGGGGUAGAGUACUUCCUUGGUAAGGAAGAGGUCACGGGUUCAAUUCCCGUAAACAGCU
rnacentral:tRNA from 1 species